GUAGCAGGCCGCCUUAUCGUUCCGAGUUGGUCUCGGGAAGGAAAGUCCGGACACCAUAGGGAAGCAUAGCGGCUAACGGCCGUCGUCCCGUCCCGAUAGCUAUCGGGAUCGGGAUAGGACAAGUGCAGCAGAAAGAAUGUACAGGUAAUGCUGUAGUGAAAUCAGGUAAACUCUAGGCGGUGAAAUGCCACGUAUACCAGCGUUAAGGGUUCCCGCCCGUGCUGGAGGGUAGGCAGAUAGAGUGUUGUAGUAAUAUAACACCCAGAUAAAUGAUAAGGACCCCGAACAACCUUCGGGGUACAGAAUCCGGCUUACAGGCCUGCUUUUUUU
rnacentral:RNase_P_RNA from 1 species